rnacentral:rRNA from 1 species
CCUACGGGAGGCAGCAGUAGGGAAUCUUUCACAAUGGGCGAAAGCCUGAUGGAGCAACGCCGCGUGCAGGAUGAAGGCCUUCGGGUUGUAAACUGCUUUUAUAAGCGAGAAAUAUGAUGGUAACUUAUGAAUAAGGAUCGGCUAACUACGUGCCAGCAGCCGCGGUCAUACGUAGGAUCCGAGCAUUAUCCGGAGUGACUGGGUGUAAAGAGUUGCGUAGGUGACAUAAUAAGUAGCUAGUGAAAUCUGGUGGCUCAACCAUUCAGACUAUUAGCUAAACUGUUAAGCUCGAGACCGUUAGGGGUAACUGGAAUGUCUAGUGUAGGAGUGAAAUCCGUAGAUAUUAGAAGGAACACCAAUAGCGUAGGCAGGUUGCUGGGACGGUUCUGACACUAAGGCACGAAAGCGUAGGGAGCAAACGGGAUUAGAUACCCCAGUAGUC